UACGAAGGGGGCUAGCGUUGUUCGGAAUUACUGGGCGUAAAGCGUGCGCAGGCGGCUGCUCAAGUCAGGGGUGAAAGCCCAGAGCUCAACUCUGGAAUUGCCUUUGAGACUGAGUGGCUUGAGUACGGGAGAGGUGAGUGGAAUUCCCAGUGUAGAGGUGAAAUUCGUAGAUAUUGGGAAGAACACCGGUGGCGAAGGCGGCUCACUGGCCCGUAACUGACGCUCAGGCACGACAGCGUGGGGAUCAAACAGGA
rnacentral:rRNA from 1 species